rnacentral:tRNA from 1 species
GGGCCGGUGGUCUAGCCCGGCUAUAGCUUCGUAAUUUCGAUUGCGAAGCCGGCUAAGAUAUCGCAUUGACAGUGCGAUGGUCACGCGUUCAAAUCGCGUCCGGCCCACCA